GUGCGCAGGCGGCGGUGCGCGUGGCGAGAUGAAAUCUCCUGGCUUACCUGGGAGGGUGGUCGCCAGACGGCAUCGCUUGAGGGUCGGAGAGGGGCGUGGAAUUCCGGGUGGAGCGGUGAAAUGCGUAGAGAUCCGGAGGAACACCGACGGCGUAGGCAGCGCCCUGGACGACACCUGACGCUGAGGCACGAAAGCUGGGGGAGCGAACAGGAUUAGAUACCCUGGUAGUCCCAGCCCUAAACGAUGUCCACCAGGUACCGGGGGGAUCGACCCCCUCGACGCCGCAGCUAACGUCAUGAGUGGACCGCCUGCGGAGUACGGCCCCAAGGU
rnacentral:rRNA from 1 species